GUUUAACCUUUCUGUUCAGGGUCUCUGAGACCCCAGCAAUAAAACAUGAUUAAAUGCAUUUUCCUUUAUGCAUCAGCUGAAGCGCCAAUGUUUUCAAACCAGCUGUCUCGACUUUCCGAUACUGUAUGACGUUCGAAGCUUCAAACGUCAUCAAUCACGUGGUAUUGUCAUUUCGAUACGAGCAUCAGAAUAGAAGGAACAGACUUUUGGUUCAAAACUAAAGUUUUACCAGAUCCCAGCAGACAUUCCUUCACAGAAAUCAAGAAGACAAUUUUGGUUGAAUGCAAUACGGCGACUGGACGGAGACGAUCAUAAAUAAUACUCGCGUUUGCAGUGCACACUUCAUAUCAGGGUUGCAGGGAUGCUGAAGUCCAGUGAAGUCCAGUGUCACAGGUUUUUGGAUUGUAGAAGAAACUGGUGCACCCGGAGGAAACCCACGCAGACACGGGGAGAACGUGCAAGCUCCACACAGAAAACGCCUUCGUUGCUCAGCCGGGACUUGAACCGGGAAGACCUUCCUGCUGAGACAACAGUUCUACCCACUGAGCCACCAUUGACCUGCAUUCUAUUUCCAUGGGAACAGUUUGCCCACAUUGGAUCAGCAUCCCCAGAAAUGGGCAGUUGUGUUUUAGGAGAGCUCUGCCCUGAAGCAGAUGAAGCACCAGCGUACACAUUAAUAUUUCCAAAUCAAUGCUCCUGACAAGUUUGACUGCACAGAUGGCAAAAAGUGGCCAAGAUGAAUAAGACACUUCAAAAGGUGCCAUGUAACGUCAAGAGUGAACAAGAGAGUUGAGGAAUUCCAGAUGCACAGUCCUGCUUAGAUGCACAGUCCUGCUUCUGGCAGAUUCUUCUGGCACACCAUUUGGCUCUGCUCUUACCCUUUGGCAUCAGCUCUAGUCCAGAGCUCUUCCAGAGAUGCAUGUCUCAACUCUUAGAUGGACUAACAGGGGUGACUUGCCAUGCGGAUGAUUUGUUAGUUUGUGUGAAAAGAUAAAUCCCAACAUGAUGAACGGCUUACACUGGUCCUGUCAUGACUUUGAAAAACAAAUCUAACUCUAAAUGAGACGUGUUCAGUUGCUCUGUCUGAAGAUCUGUUUGUAGGCCACAAAUGUUUCGGAUAUAAGAAGAUUUCUAGGCAUGACCUCGUGAAUGAAGUUGUAUUUAAAUCCCAUUACUCAGGACCAAUGAUAUCAUCCAUAUUAUCUGUUAGAGGUUUAACGGUUCUCGGUAAAAAAAUCAAACCAUACCGUCCUCCACAAAUGGUUCGGUACACACUUGUACCGCGGUUCAUCUCAAAUCUGACGAUGCAUACGCAUCUAUAAUAAGGUUUGUUGAAAAUAAAUAAAACAGACACAGAGUUACCUAAUGUAUUUUUCUGUUGAUGGAUACACAUUCUGGCUUCCCUUCAGCUUUGUUCAAUGCGAGUGCCGUAUGCUCUAUACAGUAUGACCAGGCAUUUACGCCGUCGUCACCCAGGUGUUGAUAGCACGCAAGCGCAGGUGAGAACUGAACAGCACACAUUGCUAUCUGUGUUUAAACUAAACUCAUUUAAACCAAUUUAAAGAUUCUAGCGCAAGACACGAAAGAGAGCUCAUGCUCUGUAAGAAGAUUUGUGCAAUCAAGUCUUGUGCUUAAACGGACACAUUCAUGCAAAAAUUAUCAACAUGCCCAUCUUGGCGAGUAUCCUAGUAAACAUAGUAGGUUAUGAACUUAUAAGUGAACUUAUACACUCGAGAAAGAAUGCAUGUGUUCAGUAUCAGUG